GGGGGCGUACCGGUUUCGACGGGGAUGUGGAAGCGGGAAAAGCGGGCGGUGGUGCCUGACCACCUUAAAACGGGCAACUUAUAAAUUAAAGAACAACGAUAACACUGUUCUUGCCGCUGCUUAAUUAGCGGCCGUCUGACUCGGAAGGACCACGAGCCGGGAUCAGGCGUCGUUUAGUGGUGAACGUGCGUGCACAAAGCUUUGCGUGCGCCAUGAAUGAUGAAGCUACCAAGCCCUUGAGUGUGACGGCUCACGCUUGGGUAAGGGAAUGAAAAGAACCGUCUGCGCCCGGAGAAGUUCCCGUGGAUGCGUUUUCGGACAGGGGUUCAACUCCCCUCGCCUCCACCA
rnacentral:tmRNA from 1 species